UUUUCACAAGUAUAAAACUUUGUAUAUCUGACUUCCAAUCAGAAGGGCUGACUAUAAAUCAGGUGAAAUU
rnacentral:tRNA from 1 species